rnacentral:lncRNA from 1 species
CGUUCAUUGUUGAAAAAUGAUAUUCUAGGGACCCAACACGAUGAGAAUACCAUUAUUAUAAAGGAAAUCCAUUCCAAAGCUUCCUAUCACAUGUGGUACUGCCAAAUAAAUGAUGCAACUUCAUUUAGUAAGAAGAAAAUCAAUGAUAUUAAGAACAAUUAAACUGUGCCAUAGUCUGUAGGUGCAAACCUCACCAAAAGUCACUUCAAUAACACAUAGUAAGUGAAGCAACACAGCACAGGCUGCUCAUUGUUUUCAAGUGUUCUAGACGGAAGGGCUUCACCUCUGUGCACGUCGUCUUCUUCUUCUUUUUUUUUUUUUUUUAAAUGCAGCUCGGUCUUGUAAACACAGAAGAUUUUUUAAUUUAUUCUCUUUUUUUUUCUUGACAUUUAACUUUUAAAAUGCAUUUUUUUCAUGCUGAAAAGCUGGAUAAUUCUUGGACCGUCCGCAAUGAUAUCAUCACCCGGUGGUGCGUGCUCCUCUCUCUGUGGGGACUGAGCUCCUCGGCAUAUGCACUGUCCCCGCUGCAGGGCUGGCGGGGUCCCAGGAUGGCACUCGAGGGCCUGCGUCCACCAGCAUGGUGCAUGUUCCCAGAGGCAGAGAAACAGGGCAGGACCCUGCUGAACCUCUUCACCAAAGCAUGCUUUUGCAUAGUUCUAGGUGUCUCUGGGCAUUGAGGAGCACCCUAUCUGUUCCUCCUUCCCCUCGCCCACACUUUCUCUGGGUCAUCCAUGCCCCAGCUUCCAUGGGCUCCCGUUUACUGCGUACUGGACUGUGGUUCCAUCUCGAACUCUCCUCGUAGACCAAGGGCAUAAAAUCAACUCUGGGAAUGAAAGUGUCGCAAGGCUUUGCCUGACUCCAUAGAAGAUGCCGGGCAUGACUCACUGACACCCUCGUCCUCCCACGUAAUGGGGAUAAUAUUUUAAAACAUAUUUUCAAAUGAAUUUUCAUAACCUAUAAAUCGUGCUGUCCUCGGGCUCCUUGCCUUGGGGAGAGUGGGUUUUAGUGUUCCAAGGGAAGGGCUGGCAUAGACCGGCUAGGAAAACAAAGUCAUUUUUCAGUUUUGACUGGCAAAUAGGAUUUGUGAGUCCCUAGCAAGCAAAGGUUUUGAAAGCCAUGCUAGAUUGGGAGAGAGAAGGAUUUACUAAAUUCCUUUAGUUGCUAUGCAAAGGGCUGGGCCUGCUGGAUGAGAUCAUGGAACUUUUCCAUAAGCCUGGGAUGGAAUUGUCUCAGGAUGUGGGGUACAGAAAUUCUUUAUCACCCAGGAAGGAAAGGAAGUGCUUCCUGUGUGGGUUGGAGGGGUGUUCGGGAUGCAGUAGAUCCAGUGUGGUGAGGGUGUCGGGGCCAGGAUCCUGCCAUCUCCCUGUCCCUGGGCCUAGCAUGCAGGUGUGGUGACAGGCUAGAAUGUGGCCAGUGUGGCCUGCUGUGCUGGCCCUCCCUGGGGAGGGCUUUUGGCCUCUAGAAGUUGACAACCAACACGGUGCACAGAGGCUGCCUGGCAGGGUGGGCCAGCUGGCUACAAAGGGAGCCAGUGGCAGGACUCCCGGAUCCCUUCUGGCUGUGCAGGGGACACAGGGGACCCUGAAGUUCCCAAAGCCCUAGUAGAUAAUGCCUUAGAGAUAUGGGGAGAGAGUCAGUUGGUCAAUAAAAGCCUGGAGUUGAA